rnacentral:lncRNA from 1 species
GUGCCAGGGUACAGACUCUUAAUUCCUUCUGGAAUACUGAGAGUGCCAGGAAAUGACAGCUUAAUGUUCAGGGUACAUCUUAGUUUGUCUUGGAUCUUGUGACAGGGGCAGCAGCAUUACUCUUGGAGUGAAAGUGUAUCUGGGUAUGUUGGGCCACAUUUGCAGUAGUUUGUUCUGAGCUCCAGAGCUAUUGAUCAAGCCCGUCCUGCCUUCUGAGGUAUGGAAGACACUGAGGCCUCCCGACCCACAGCACAGCAUUCUCUGCUUCCAGCGGGUCUGCCUUGGGCCAUCACCCCAGAGAGUUUGAUCAAAACCCGAGCCCAAUCCAGGUCCUACCCUUCUCAGCCCCCAUCCCACUUGGGUUCAUUUACUUAUUCAAACAAACAUCAAAUGAGCAUCUACAUAUUAGAAUUCUAGAUAGGGGUGUGGGGUCAGUGUGCAGGGACAGCAGCAUAGAAGAGGGACUUUGGUUGAGACUUGAAGGACGAAUAGGAGUUUGCCAAAGGGUCAAAGGAUAGGAAGCUAUUUGAGGAAGAAGAAACUGCAUAUACUACACAAACGUACAGAGGACCCUGGUCAGCCAUGUGGUUGGAACACAAAGUGAAAAGUGGGGAGAGAGGGAGAAGAGAGGCUUGAACAGGGAAGCAGAGAACAACAGAUGGAAGAUCUUAUAGCUGAGCUAAGAAGUAUGAAUUUUUUUCCCCUAGGAUGGAAAAACACAGAAGUUUUUUCAAAUUUCCAAGUAGGAAGUUAUGAUUUUAAAAAAAAAUGAAAAAGAAAAGAAGGCUUUUUCUAAUUAGAAAGGUCAGGUUAGUGGCAUUGUGGAAGACGGACUGGACAGGGGCAAAAGUAGACCCAGGGAGACUAGUCAGUCUAGCCAGUCAGCCAACAAGCAUUUCUUAAGUUCUGUAGUGGGUAAAAUAGUUGCUUCCCCCACCCCAAAAGUUAUGCCCAUGUCCCAGAACCCGUGAAUGUGACCUUAUUUGGAAAACAGAACUUUAAAGAUGUAAUCAAGUUAAGGAUCUCAGGAUCCCUGAUUAUCCGAUGGGCCUUAAAUCCAAACGCAAAUGUCCUUAAAAGAAACACAUGCAAGAGAAGGCCACUGAAGACAGAGGCAGAGAUUGCAGUGAUGCAGCCAUAAGCCAAGGAAUGCCUGGAACUAUCAGAAGCAGAAAGAGCAGAUUCUCCCUUCAAGCCUUCAGAGGGAGUGUGGCCCUGCUGACAUCUUGACUUCAAACCUCUGGCCUCCAGAACUAUGAGAAUAAAUUUAUGUUGCAUUACGCC